rnacentral:lncRNA from 1 species
AAUAUGUUACAAGCUUUCAUUUUCAUAAAGAAACAUAGAGUAAUAAUGGAUGUAUAUCCAAUUGUUCAGAAUAUUUGAAGAAAUUUAACAAAAGCUCUGUUAUUCGACUGUUGACGAUGCAAUUUAGGUACUCCUUAUUACAGAAUCAUUUUUGGUUUGCAGGUCAGUUCAGACCAUUUUUUCCUAUGAUUCGAUAUGGAUUCAAAAUUUAAUAGGUGAAAACAUGUAGUUAAUAAUGAUACAUCUACAAAAUAAACACAAAGUGUACGGAGCAUAUAUUAACAUAGGUUAAAAAAA